AUCCACCGGUGGGGAGGCUAGAGUCGCUAGAUCUAGCAUCCCAGCCUCCUCACUAGCUGAU
rnacentral:pre_miRNA from 7 species